AUGAACGCUGGCGGCGUGCUUAACACCUGCAAGUCGAACGAUGAAGCCCAGCUUGCUGGGUGGAUUAGUGGCGAACGGGUGAGUAACACGUGAGUAACCUGCCCUUGACUCUGGGAUAAGCCCGGGAAACUGGGUCUAAUACCGGAUAGGAGCGCCUGUCGCAUGACGGGUGUUGGAAAGAUUUUUCGGUCAUGGAUGGACUCGCGGCCUAUCAGCUUGUUGGUGAGGUAAUGGCUCACCAAGGCGACGACGGGUAGCCGGCCUGAGAGGGUGACCGGCCACACUGGGACUGAGACACGGCCCAGACUCCUACGGGAGGCAGCAGUGGGGAAUAUUGCACAAUGGGCGGAAGCCUGAUGCAGCGACGCCGCGUGAGGGAUGACGGCCUUCGGGUUGUAAACCUCUUUCAGUAGGGAAGAAGCGAAAGUGACGGUACCUGCAGAAGAAGCACCGGCUAACUACGUG
rnacentral:rRNA from 1 species